AGUCGAACGGAAACGAUGGAAGCUUGCUUCCAGGCGUCGAGUGGCGGACGGGUGAGUAACGCGUAGGAAUCUGCCUGAUAGUGGGGGAUAGCCCGGAGAAAUCCGGAUUAAUACCGCAUAGUCUAUUCGUAGUAAAGGGGGCCUCUAUUUAUAAGCUCUCGCUAUCAGAUGAGCCUGCGUCAGAUUAGCUUGUUGGUGAGGUAAAAGCUCACCAAGGCAACGAUCUGUAGCUGGUCUGAGAGGAUGACCAGCCACACUGGGACUGAGACACGGCCCAGACUCCUACGGGAGGCAGCAGUGGGGAAUAUUGCACAAUGGGCGCAAGCCUGAUGCAGCAACGCCGCGUGGGGGACGAAGGCCUUCGGGUUGUAAACCUCUUUUAGUAGGGAAGAAGCGCAAGUGACGGUACCUACAGAAAAAGCACCGGCUAACUACGUGCCAGCAGCCGCGGUAAUACGUAGGGUGCAAGCGUUGUCCGGAAUUAUUGGGCGUAAAGAGCUCGUAGGCGGUUUGUCGCGUCUGCUGUGAAAAUCCGAGGCUCAACCUCGGACCUGCAGUGGGUACGGGCAAACUAGAGUGCGGUAGGGGAGAUUGGAAUUCCUGGUGUAGCGGUGGAAUGCGCAGAUAUCAGGAGGAACACCAAUGGCGAAGGCAGAUCUCUGGGCCGUAACUGACGCUGAGGAGCGAAAGCGUGGGUAGCAAACAGGAUUAGAUACCCUGGUAGAAGGGC
rnacentral:rRNA from 1 species